rnacentral:rRNA from 1 species
UACGUAGGGUGCGAGCGUUGUCCGGAAUUAUUGGGCGUAAAGGGCUCGUAGGCGGUCUGUCGCGUCGGGAGUGAAAACUCAGGGCUUAACCCUGAGCCUGCUUCCGAUACGGGCAGACUAGAGUUCGGCAGGGGAGACUGGAAUUCCUGGUGUAGUGGUGAAAUGCGCAGAUAUCAGGAGGAACACCGAUGGCGAAAGGCAGGUCUCUGGGCAUUAACUGACGCUGAGGAGCGAAAGCAUGGGGAGCGAACAGG